rnacentral:rRNA from 1 species
AUUGAACGCUGGCGGCAUGCCUUACACAUGCAAGUCGAACGGUAACAGGCCGCAAGGUGCUGACGAGUGGCGAACGGGUGAGUAAUGCAUCGGAACGUGCCCAGUCGUGGGGGAUAACGCAGCGAAAGCUGCGCUAAUACCGCAUACGAUCUAUGGAUGAAAGCGGGGGACCGUAAGGCCUCGCGCGAUUGGAGCGGCCGAUGUCAGAUUAGGUAGUUGGUGGGGUAAAGGCUCACCAAGCCAACGAUCUGUAGCUGGUCUGAGAGGACGACCAGCCACACUGGGACUGAGACACGGCCCAGACUCCUACGGGAGGCAGCAGUGGGGAAUUUUGGACAAUGGGCGCAAGCCUGAUCCAGCAAUGCCGCGUGCAGGAAGAAGGCCUUCGGGUUGUAAACUGCUUUUGUACGGAACGAAACGGUCCUGGUUAAUACCUGGGGCUAAUGACGGUACCGUAAGAAUAAGCACCGGCUAACUACGUGCCAGCCGCCGCUGUAACAC